rnacentral:rRNA from 1 species
AGUGAACGCUGGCGGUAGGCCUAACACAUGCAAGUCGAACGGCAGCACAGUAAGAGCUUGCUCUUACGGGUGGCGAGUGGCGGACGGGUGAGGAAUACAUCGGAAUCUACUUUUUCGUGGGGGAUAACGUAGGGAAACUUACGCUAAUACCGCAUACGACCUACGGGUGAAAGCAGGGGAUCUUCGGACCUUGCGCGAUUGAAUGAGCCGAUGUCGGAUUAGCUAGUUGGCGGGGUAAAGGCCCACCAAGGCGACGAUCCGUAGCUGGUCUGAGAGGAUGAUCAGCCACACUGGAACUGAGACACGGUCCAGACUCCUACGGGAGGCAGCAGUGGGGAAUAUUGGACAAAGGGCGCAAGCCUGAUCCAGCCACACCGCGUGGGUGAAGAAGGCCUUCGGGUUGUAAAGCCCCUUUGUUGGGAAAGAAAAGCAGCAGGUUAAUACCCCGCUGUUCUGACGGUACCCAAAGAAUAAGCACCGGCUAACUUCGUG